CCUACGGGGGGCAGCAGUGAGGAAUAUUGGUCAAUGGGCGCGAGCCUGAACCAGCCAAGUCGCGUGAAGGAUGACUGCCCUAUGGGUUGUAAACCUCUUUUAUAAAGGAAUAAAGUGAGGCACGUGUCCCUUUUCGUAUGUACCUUAUGAAUAAGGAUCGGCUAACUCCGUGCCAGCAGCCGCGGUAAUACGGAGGAUCCGAGCGUUAUCCGGAUUUAUUGGGUUUAAAGGGAGCGUAGAUGGGAUUGUAAGUCAGCUGUGAAAGUCUGCGGCUCAACCGUAGAAUUGCCGUUGAUACUGGCGGUCUUGAGUACGGUUGAGGUAGGCGGAAUGCGUGGUGUAGCGGUGAAAUGCAUAGAUAUCACGAAGAACUCCGAUUGCGAAGGCAGCCUACCAA
rnacentral:rRNA from 1 species